rnacentral:rRNA from 1 species
AGAGUUUGAUCCUGGCUCAGGAUAAACGCUGGCGGCGCACAUAAGACAUGCAAGUCGAACGGACUUAAUACCUUGCUUGCAAGGUAAGCGGUUAGUGGCGGACUGGUGAGUAACACGUAAGAAAUCUGCCUAUCAGAGGGGAAUAACAGUGAGAAAUCAUUGCUAAUACCGCAUAUGCCAUAUUUAUCGCAUGAUAGAAGUGGGAAAGGAGCAAUCCGCUGAUAGAUGAGCUUGCGGCUGAUUAGCUAGUUGGUGGGGUAAAGGCCUACCAAGGCGACGAUCAGUAGCCGGACUGAGAGGUUGAACGGCCACAUUGGGACUGAGAUACGGCCCAGACUCCUACGGGAGGCAGCAGUCGGGAAUAUUGCGCAAUGGAGGGAACUCUGACGCAGUGACGCCGCGUAUAGGAAGAAGGUUUUCGGAUUGUAAACUAUUGUCCACAGGGAAGAAAGAAGGACAGUACCUGUGAAGAAAGCUCCGGCUAACUACGUGCCAGCAGCCGCGGUAAUACGUAGGGAGCAAGCGUUAUCCGGAAUUAUUGGGUGUAAAGGGUGCGUAGACGGGAGAACAAGUUAGUUGUGAAAACCCUCGGCUCAACUGAGGACGUGCAACUAAAACUAUUCAUCUUGAGUGCAGGAGAGGAAAGUGGAAUUCCUAGUGUAGCGGUGAAAUGCGUAGAUAUUAGGAAGAACACCGGUGGCGAAGGCGACUUUCUGGACUGUAACUGACGUUGAGGCACGAAAGUGUGGGGAGCAAACAGGAUUAGAUACCCUGGUAGUCCACACUGUAAACGAUGGAUA